GAUGAACGCUGGCGGCGUGCCUAAUACAUGCAAGUCGAGCGAACGACCGAGUAGCAUGCUUCUCUGGUGUUAGCGGCGGACGGGUGAGUAACGCGUGGGUAACCUACCUGUGAGAAUGGGGUAUCUUCGGGAAAGCGAAGCUAAUGCCGGGUAAUCUUUUGAACCACAAGGGUCCAAAGUGAAAGACGGUCUUGCUGUAACUUAUGGAUGGAUCCGAUCUGCGUUAGCUAGUUGGUCAGGUAACGGCUUACCAAGGCAACGAUGGAUAGCCGACCUAAGAGCGUCAUCGCCCACACGAGAACUGAGAGUCGGUCCAGACUCCUGCGGGAGGCAGCAGUAGGGAAUCCUCCGCGAGGGGCGAAUGCCUGAUGGUGCAACGCCGCGGGAGGGAUGAAGGUCCUCGGAUCGGAAAACGCUGUUAUUAGUGAAUAACAAAUGUGUAAGUAACUGUGCACAUCUUGACGGUACCUAACCAGAAAGCCCCGGCUAACUACGUG
rnacentral:rRNA from 1 species